GAUCAUGUGGCCGAGUGGUCUAAGGCGCUGGAUUAAGGCUCCAGUCUCUUCGGAGGCGUGGGUUCAAAUCCCACCGUGAUCA
rfam:Ramazzottius varieornatus DNA, contig: Scaffold001, strain: YOKOZTNA-1.